AGUUUUAAAAGAACUAUAUUUUUAAAAAAAACAAUACAGAGAAGGUUAGCAUGUCCUCUGUGCAAGGAUGACAUGCAAAUUUGUGAAAUGUUAAAAAACAAC
rfam:Myotis brandtii contig297212, whole genome shotgun sequence.